UCAUUUCUUACUUUUCCCCAUCUCUCUCUGUUAUUUGAAAGCAGGAACCAUGUCUAGAGGGAAACCCUAUCAAUGAUCAAGGACAAAUAUUGCCUAACUUUCCAUUUGGAGAAAGCUUUGGCGUGCUGAAGGGACUCGUUUGCUUGCGAAAAAAGGCAACAAUUGAUUGCCCUUACUGCGGAACUGUGCGAUCAUUCAUUGGUAGCCUGGAGUUCCUUUUGCAUUUGGGACAUACUUGGAGAUAGGCAUUUGAUCGCGAAAGGGUUUGGUUUCUUCUCGCGAAAAACAGUGGAUGGGAAGUGAGUUUCGUCUGGUGCUACACCAUGAAGGCUACAUGGAGUUCAAACCUCAAGCUAGGCACAUUAGUGGCAUAUAAAAGAAUGAAAGGUGUACUUAAGGAUUUUGGUUGCAAACAACCAAAACGAAUGUGGAUCAUGUGAUGGUCUAACUGACUUGAAUACUAAUAUUGAAGUGAUGAAAAUGGUCGAAUUUGGUUUGAAGUUUGAAAUGAUUAAUAUGUGUGUGUGUGUGUUGAAGCUGAGUAUGAACUGAUGAUGAGGGAGCAAGGAAUGAUUUUCAGGGACUAGGAGAUGAUAUUGGUGAUGAGAUUGAGGGAUCAGAGGAUGAUAUUGGUGAUGAGAUUGAUAGACGAGAAGAUGAUAUUGAUGAUGACAAAAAGGGUGAAACUUCUGUAUGUAGUGAUUCUUAUAUAGAUGAUUGUGAGGGUUUUGUUAGUGAAGAAGAUGACUUGCUGCAAGGAGGAAGAAGUGACAUUGAGGAACCAAGUUGCCCAUAGAAGACCCAAUGUGCAAGCUUAUGCUGAAACUAGCAGGCAGUAUAAUGAUUUAGCGAGUGGUCUUGAUACUCCUAACAACUCUGAAUAUUAGAGAAAGGCAUAGAGGAGAAGAAAGCGAGAGCAUAAGAAGUACAAACCAUUCAAUGUCAAUUGUGAUAUUGCUAAUAUUGUACUUGAUGGAGAUAUGAUAUUUGAAAGUCCAAAGCAGUUCAAGGAGGUUAUGGGGAGUUAUUUCAUUUCCCUUGGCUUUCAAAUACCAUGGAAGAAGACUGGUGACAAAAAGGUUGAGGUUGCAUGCUAGGAUGACGACUGCCCUUAGAGAAUUUAUGUUAGUUGGACCUAUAAGAGGGAAUGAUUUGCUGUGAAGAGAUGUAUCAAUCAGUACACAUGUCCUAGGACUACAAAGAACAAAGAAGCAACUUACGAAUGGUUGGCAAAUCACUUUUUAGAAUAUGAAUUGGGGGUACUACAACGAUUAUGAAAGAGGCAAAUGUGAAGUUUAGAUAAAAGUAUCGAAGAGUACUUGUUAUAGAGCAAGAUUGAUUGCAUGUUAAGAUGAUUUAGGAGCCUUGGAAGAGCAUUAUAACAUGGAACCCACAUAUAUUUCCGAGUUAAAGGACAACAAAGACAAUACAUUUGAGUUGAUGCUUGGCAGGAAUGAUCUUGAUUCUGCACCUAGAUUUAAAAUGUUGUUCAUGUGGAUUGAAAUAUUGAGGAAGGGGUUUAGAAAGGGACUUAGAUCGGUCAUAGGGUUGGAUGCAUGUUUUCUGAAGACUGAAUUAGGUGGGCAAUUGUUAAGUGUUGUUGAGAGGGACGGCAAAAUCAAAUGCUCCCAAUAGCAUAGGCAUUAGUGGUGGGGAGAAUGAGCAAUUCUUAGAAGUGGUUUUUUCAGCUCCGAAAGAAUGACCUGGGGAUAAGAGAUGGGCAUGGCUGGACUUUGAUCAUUGACCAGCAGAAGGGUCUUGGGAAGGCUGAAAGGACACUUCUUCAGAUUCUGAGCAUAGAUUUUGUGCAAGAAUCUCUAUGCUAUUUGAAGAAAACUCAUUCAUGUAUGGCUCUAAAACAACUUUCUUUUGGAGGGCAAUCAUGAGCACCACUAAGGCAGACUAUCAGAGGGUAAUGCAGUAGAUGGAAAUUAGUUCGAUGCAAGUAGCUAAAACUUUCAGCGAUAUUGGUGUUUAGAGGUUUUGUAGGGCACUUAUGACUGAUUGAAAUGCAUGUGAGAGUGUGAAUAAUAACUUGUGUGAGUGUUUUGUUAACUAUAUAUUAGAAGCAAGGUCUAUCCCUUGAUUGAUAUAUUAGAGCAUAUUAGAACUUCAUUGAUACAAAGGAUGGCUGGAAAGAGAGUUAUUUGUGGAUUCAACUGAUGAGAUAUGUCCAAGGGUGAAGAAGAAAUUAGAGGAGGCCAAGCUGCUGAGUAGGAGAUGUAUCUCAGGUCAUGGUAAAAAUAGAAAAUUUCAGGUUAUUGAUUUAGGAAAUAAAUUUUUUAUUUAUUAGAUGCUUGGAGAUGUACAUGUAGAAGGUGCAAUAUCAUAAAUUGUACCUUGCCUACAUGUUAUCAGUGCUAUGCACCGGAGGGAUGAGCAUCUUGAAGAUUUUGUCAAUGGAUUCUUGAAGAAAGGAAUGUACCUUAAGGUAUAUGGGCAAUUUCUUGAACCACUGAAUGGGAAAAAACAAUGGAUUGUGAUUGAUCCUAGACGCGUUUUACCUCCAAAAGUUAGGAAGAUGCCUGGCAAACCGAAGAAGUGCAGGAAGAAGGACCCUAGAGGAAAGGGAAAUGCAAAGAAAGAUAAAGGGAGGAAACCAACCUCAUCAUCAACAAGUCAUGUAAGUUUAUAGGAAUCACUAACGUAAUGUUUGACUUCCAAUCGAUAUUUAAUGGCUUUUUAUAUAUCAUGGACAAGUUAAAAAGAGGAACAAGGGACCUUCCCUAAAUGUGGAUCCCUCUCCUUCUGUGCCUACUGAUACCUCACCUACUUGAGACAUGUAUCAUCAACUGGGAUGCCAUCAUCAUCUGGGCUCGUAGGAGACCAAAUGCACAUUGGAUCGGGUCCUAUUUGAGGUCGGAGACCACCAAAAUUACAAGAAAGUGCAACAAUCGUUACAAACUCUUCAUGAGCUUAUAGUUAAAGAACUUGCUGAAGUUUCCAAAGGUUAUGGAGUGAUAACAGGGGCAAGUGGAAUGACAUAUGUCAAUGUGUGUGGCCAACUACUGAGAACUUAUGUGGGUAGAUACGAAGGGCAUGUGACUACUAUUAGCCAGCCAAAAACUAUAGGAGACUAGUAAGUGCAUCAACAAGGGAGCACCGGAACAAGAGCAAGUAAAGGCACUUCAAGGAAACCAGUUUUUUUUGCUGGAUAAAGAAAUCAGGUUGUUCGAGAUGAUAUCACCACUAAAAAGAAGAAGAAGUAGAUUUGGGGUCAGUGUAGUCUUUCGUGUGAUUUUUUUGUGUGGAAUGGUACCUUGCUUAUGAUUUGGUUGCCUUACAUUUCGAUUGGUUGAAUAGCUUUUAUGAAUGGAGGUUGAACUUCGUAAAAGAUUGAAUGAUUAUCAGCGCACAGGUUUUUGUGACUAUUUGGAAUGCUAUUUUGUGUUUAUUUGGUA